CCUGUCCUUAGUACGAGAGGACCGGGAUGGACGUACCUCUGGUGUACCAGUUGUUCUGCCAAGGGCAUGGCUGGGUAGCUAUGUACGGAAUGGAUAAGCGCUGAAAGCAUCUAAGCGCGAAGCCAACUUCAAGAUAAGAUUUCCCACCGCAAGGGUAAGACCCCAGAAAGACUAUCUGGUUGAUAGGUCGAAGGUGUAAGUGCAGCAAUGUAUUUAGCUUAUCGAUACUAAUAGGUCGAGGACUUGACCAAU
rnacentral:rRNA from 1 species